GAUGAACGCUGGCGGCGCGCCUAAUACAUGCAAGUCGAGCGAACAGACGAGGAGCUUGCUCCUCUGACGUUAGCGGCGGACGGGUGAGUAACACGUGGAUAACCUACCUAUAAGACUGGGAUAACUUCGGGAAACCGGAGCUAAUACCGGAUAAUAUAUUGAACCGCAUGGUUCAAUAGUGAAAGACGGUUUUGCUGUCACUUAUAGAUGGAUCCGCGCCGCAUUAGCUAGUUGGUAAGGUAACGGCUUACCAAGGCAACGAUGCGUAGCCGACCUGAGAGGGUGAUCGGCCACACUGGAACUGAGACACGGUCCAGACUCCUACGGGAGGCAGCAGUAGGGAAUCUUCCGCAGUGGGCGAAAGCAUGACGGAGCAACGCCGCGUGAGUGAUGAAGGUCUUCGGAUCGUAAAACUCUGUUAUUAGGGAAGAACAAAUGUGUAAGUAACUAUGCACGUCUUGACGGUACCUAGUCAGAAAGCCACGGCUAACUACGUG
rnacentral:rRNA from 1 species